rnacentral:rRNA from 1 species
GACGAACGCUGGCGGCGUGCCUAAUACAUGCAAGUCGAACGCAUUUUCUUUCACCGUAGCUUGCUACACCGAAAGAAAAUGAGUGGCGAACGGGUGAGUAACACGUGGGUAACCUGCCCAUCAGCGGGGGAUAACACUUGGAAACAGGUGCUAAUACCGCAUAAUUCCAUUUACCGCAUGGUAGAUGGGUGAAAGGCGCUUUUGCGUCACUGAUGGAUGGACCCGCGGUGCAUUAGCUAGUUGGUGGGGUAACGGCCUACCAAGGCUGCGAUUCAUAGCCGACCUGAGAGGGUGAUCGGCCACACUGGGACUGAGACACGGCCCAGACUCCUACGGGAGGCAGCAGUAGGGAAUCUUCGGCAAUGGACGCAAGUCUGACCGAGCAACGCCGCGUGAGUGAAGAAGGUUUUCGGAUCGUAAAACUCUGUUGUUAGAGAAGAACAAGGAUGAGAGUGGAAAGUUCAUCCCUUGACGGUAUCUAACCAGAAAGCCACGGCUAACUACGUG